rnacentral:lncRNA from 1 species
AUUUAGUUGUAUGUUCUAAAUUCUGGGCACCUUCCACUCUGGGGAAUGUUGAAAACUAAGGCACAGGACGGUGGUGGCAGCUGAUCAGACACAAUAGCUGGCAGUCCCCCGCCGGAGUGAGGAUACAAAUGACCCUCAACAGCACCAGCAGGAGGACUGGGAAAGAGAGUAGGGGUGUGUCUGGGAGGGGGUGAGGAUGAGGGUGACAAGGUGACAAACGCCGCCGCCGCAGCGGGCUACCCCACUGCAGGCAACCCGGC